UUUAUGCAAUGUUAUUUAUAAAAUCAUGGCUAAGACUAUAGCAAACAGAUUUAGAGAUGUUAUUGAUAAAUACAUUGAUAGCGCGCAAAGUGCCUUUGUUCCAAGAAGAUUAAUCUCAGAUAAUGUACUACUAGCUUAUGAAUUACUGCAUACACUAAAACAGAAGAGAAUGGGAGAAAAGGGUUAUAUGGCAAUAAAACUGGACUUGAGUAAAGCUUAUGACAGGGUUGAAUGGAAAUUUGUUAGGGAGAUAAUGUUGCAGAUGGGAUUUGCUCAAAAUUGUGUCGAUUCUAUCAUGAAUUGCAUGUCUACUAUUUCUUAUCAAGUUGUGCUCAAUGGAAGUAUUGGAGAAACUUUUCGUCCAACCAGGAGACUUCAACAAGGUGACCCAUUGAGUUCGUUUCUUUUUCUAAUAUGUGGAGAGGGAUUACCUAGUCUCAUGAGAAUAGCUACAAAAGAAGGAAUUUUAAAAGGAGUCAAGGCAAGUAGAAGCGGCCCACAAGUGUCACAUUUAUUAUUUACAAACGACUGUAUUUUAUUCAGAGAAAGCUUCAAAAAAAGGAGCUUUAGUAUUCAAGGAGAUCCUACGUGAGUAUAAACAAUGUUCGGGUCAAUGUGUAAAUUUUGAUAAAUCAACUUUCUUUAGUAAAAACAUGCUGGAGGAAGAAAGACAAUUAGUCGUCAACUUGUUGGGAGUUUGGAGUUCAGAUGAGCCAGAACGAUAUCUAGGUUUGCCAAACAUGGUAGGUCGAAGAAAGGAGUCUUUUCGAGCUCUAAAAGAUAGAUUAAAGCAGCAUAUUGAAAACUAGAGUAUUCGAUUUCUAUCGCAAGGUGGAAAAUAAGUAUUCAUUAAGGCUGUCCUACAAGCCGUACCGACAUAUUCAAUGGCUUGCUUUUUACUCCCAAAGUCACUAUGCGAUAAAAUGGAAGGCAUUGUUGCGAAAUAUUGAUGGCAAAAUGGUCGUGGAAAGGGGGAAUUCACUGGUGUACUUGGAAAAAUCUUUGCAUUUUAAAAGAAAACAGAGGGUUAGGUUUUCAAAAUCUUAGCCAGAAUAAUAUUGCGUUGUUAGCCAAACAGGGCUGGUAACUUUUUAAUUAUCCAAAUUCUCUUUUAGCCAGAGUUCUUAAAGCUAAAUAUUAUCCACGUUCUGACUUUCUAAAUGCAUAGUUGGGAAACUUACCAUCUCUUACCUGGAAGAGCAUUUGGGCAACGAAGGGUCUCCUUCUUAAAAAACUAAGCUGGAGAGUUGGAAGAGGAAAUGCAAUCUCUAUUUGGAUUGAUCGAUGGAUACCAGGGAUUGAACCUGAGUCAUGGCACAACAGAGGAGGCAAUGGUGAGCUGGAACUAGUAUCAGAUCUAAUUGACAGUACAACUAAUAUGUGGAAAACAAAGAUAAUUACAACUACCUUCCAAAUGGACAUUGCUCAAAGAACAUUGCAGAUUCCUCUUGCGAUAACAAACUGUGAAGACAUGCAAGUGUGGAAAGGUGAACACUCUGGCGAGUUUUCAGUACGAAGCGCCUACAAACUAUUACAAAAUGCUAGCUUGGAUCCUAGUAGUUAUUUAGUACAGGCCGAAACUAAAGAUUUCUACAGGAAGUUAUGGAAUUUACAACUACCAUCAAAAAUUUUAAUUCUUAUAUGGCGGAUUUCCUGGAUCUAUAUCCCUACACUAGUUAAUCUUAGAUACAAGAGAGUGAUUACAAAUACUAGUUGGCUUCGAUGCUGCUCCAAAGAAGAAAACAGCUACCACGUGUUUCGGCAAUGUCCUACAAGCAUUGAUGCUUGGAAUAGUCUUAAUAUGACUUCGGUAACAGCACACACAGAUCAAAAUACAUGGACAUGGCUCACCUGGGUUUUUAGAAGGGGUACAAAGGAGCAGAUCCUAAUGUUCUGCUGCGCCUUAUGGGUUAUUUGGGGCUCGCGGAAUCAGAUGGUUCAUGAGAGGAAAAUCACAUCAGGAAAGGACCUUUCACACAAAAUACAGAGCUAUUUAUUAGAACUUGAAGGAGUGCGUGAAAAAAAGCUUACCUUUACGUCCACUAGAAAUCAAGGACGAGGGGAGUCAAUGAGGGAUAUAAUACAGUUCGACGCAG
rnacentral:lncRNA from 1 species